GUCGUAGCAAGGCUUGGUUUGGUUUGGUCAGCGGCGGACGGGUGAGUAACACGUGGGCAACCUGCCCGCAAGACCGGGAUAACUCCGGGAAACCGGAGCUAAUACCGGAUAACACCGAAGACCGCAUGGUCUUGGGUUGAAAGGCGGCCUUAGGGCUGUCACUUGCGGAUGGGCCCGCGGCGCAUUAGCUAGUUGGUGAGGUAACGGCUCACCAAGGCGACGAUGCGUAGCCGGCCUGAGAGGGUGACCGGCCACACUGGGACUGAGACACGGCCCAGACUCCUACGGGAGGCAGCAGUAGGGAAUCUUCCGCAAUGGGCGAAAGCCUGACGGAGCGACGCCGCGUGAGCGAAGAAGGCCUUCGGGUCGUAAAGCUCUGUUGUGAGGGACGAAGGAGCGCCGUUUGAAGAAGGCGGCGCGGUGACGGUACCUCACGAGAAAGCCCCGGCUAACUACGUGCCAGCAGCCGCGGUAAUACGUAGGGGGCGAGCGUUGUCCGGAAUUAUUGGGCGUAAAGCGCGCGCAGGCGGUCUCUUAAGUCUGAUGUGAAAGCCCACGGCUCAACCGUGGAGGGUCAUUGGAAACUGGGGGACUUGAGGGCAGGAGAGGAGAGCGGAAUUCCACGUGUAGCGGUGAAAUGCGUAGAGAUGUGGAGGAACACUAGUGGCGAAAGGCGGCUCUC
rnacentral:rRNA from 1 species